UUGGCCUUGACAUACUAAGAACUUUCCAGAGAUGGAUUGGUGCCUUCGGGAACUUAGAUACAGGUGCUGCAUGGCUGUCGUCAGCUCGUGUCGUGAGAUGUUGGUUAAGUCCGCAACGAGCGCAACCUUUUCCUUAUUUGCCAGCGGGUAAUGCCGGGAACUUUAAGGAUACUGCCAGUGACAAACUGGAGGAAGGCGGGGACGACGUCAAGUCAUCAUGGCCCUUACGGCCAGGGCUACACACGUGCUACAAUGGUCGGUACAAAGGGUUGCUACCUCGCGAGAGGAUGCUAAUCUCAAAAAGCCGAUCGUAGUCCGGAUCGCAGUCUGCAACUCGACUGCGUGAAGUCGGAAUCGCUAGUAAUCGCGGAUCAGAAUGCCUCGGUGAAUACGUUCCCGGGCCUUGUACACACCGCCCGUCACACCAUGGGAGUUUGUUGCACCAGAAGUAGGUAGUCUAACCGCAAGGAGGACGCUUACCACGGUGUGGCCGAUGACUGGGGUGAAGUCGUAACAAGGUAGGCGUAGAUGA
rnacentral:rRNA from 1 species